rnacentral:rRNA from 1 species
GACGUAGGGCGCGAGCGUUGUCCGGAUUUAUUGGGCGUAAAGCGCGUGUAGGCGGCUGGGUAAGUCCGCUCUGAAAGCCCGGGGCUCAACCCCGGGAGCGGGUGGAUACUGCUCAGCUCGAGUCCGGAAGAGGAGUGUGGAAUUCCGUGGUGUAGCGGUGAAAUGCGUAGAUAUCAGGAGGAACACCGGUGGUGUGAAACGCUUUCGUGGACCAUAACUGACGCUGAGGCACGAAAGCGUGGGUAGCAAACAGG